rnacentral:misc_RNA from 1 species
UCUGCUGGCUUGGAUUUGAAAUAUAACUGCAACGUGAACAUCUUUGAGUCAGGAUCCCAAUGUGAGAAGAACUUCGGAGUGGAUUUAUCAAUUUCUGUGCUAGGAACCUUGAAAGCAAUGAUCUCAUAAGGUUCUGCAGCAAAUAAAAGAUACUGGUAUCUCUUGUCAUAGGGUUGCACUUUCUGCUCAAAAGAUGACAUAAAUCGAUGUCUUGGUUUUGUAUUGUCUUCUAUCUCAGGAUAUUCAAUCUGGAAGAGAAGAGAUCUCUGCUUUGUCUCUGGAUCAAAUUGCUUUGUAACUCGGUACCCAGGCCUUCCAAUUUUAACUGUCUUGCGAAUGUUAACCUUGCGCUUGUUGGGCUGGGGGAGAGCAGGAGCCUCCUUAGCCUCGCGAGCAGCUCUCUUGGCCAAAUUGGUCUGGUGUCUCUUCCCUUGAGUGUGAGCCAAAUAGUUCCCUUCAUUGUUGUGCAAAGUCAGACACAGCUUACACUCAUAACUCCCAAGGUGGUUGCGCAUGAAAUAUGGAUCCUUGGCUAGAUCGAUGGUCUCAAGUGCGAGCCGGCGGAGACGCUCGCGGCGGUCAAUGGCCUCGUUCUGGGCCGAGGCGGCGCCACCGCUGCCCGGCUUGGAACCCCAUUCUCUAUCCAUGAUCUAAUUCUCUUGCC